GUGGGGAAUAUUGGACAAUGGGCGCAAGCCUGAUCCAGCCAUGCCGCGUGAGUGAUGAAGGCCUUAGGGUUGUAAAGCUCUUUUGUCCGGGAAGAUAAUGACUGUACCGGAAGAAUAAGCCCCGGCUAACUUCGUGCCAGCAGCCGCGGUAAUACGAAGGGGGCUAGCGUUGUUCGGAAUCACUGGGCGUAAAGCGCACGUAGGCGGACCAUUAAGUCAGGGGUGAAAGCCUGGAGCUCAACUCCAGAACUGCCUUUGAUACUGAUGGUCUCGGGUAUGGAAGAGGUUGGUGGAACUGCGAGUGUAGAGGUGAAAUUCGUACAUAUUCGCAAGAACACCGGUGGCGAAGGCGUCCAACUGGUCCAUUACUGACGCUGAAGUGCGAAAGCGUGUGGAGCAAACAGGAUUAGAAACCCGUGUAGUCC
rnacentral:rRNA from 1 species